UGGGGGAGCUCAGGAUCCUGGGCUGUGUCCCCAGCGCCCUGGGCUCUAGGGCCUAUACUGCUGGAAUCACGCUCCCUGCCACCAAUCCAGCCGCCA
rnacentral:pre_miRNA from 1 species